rnacentral:lncRNA from 1 species
CAUUGGAGUUCUAUUGUCGGGUAUUUUAAAUAAAAUAUUGGGGUUCUAUUGUCGGUGGAGUUCUAUUUUCGGGUAUUUUUAAUAAUAUUGCAAGCAACUUUGGAUUCAUAUCUCGUUACUAGAUGUCGCCAGUGUCGCCUUUGUUGUUGUUACGUCGUGAAACGAGGCCAAAAGGGCGAAACAAAUUGUAGCUAAUUAAUACUUAUAUUCCUGAGAUUUCAUAUACCAAAUUGAACUUCGUAUUAUAAAUGCAUACUGUCAGUCAUUCAAAAAAGUUGACUUAGAGCUCAGUCGCUUUCCCUCCAAUAGACCCAUCAUGUUGUCAAAAGCCUAAAACUCAUGUGUGAAGCUCACAUAUCGUGGAAUACAAAUGUGUGGAGACAAAGUAUUUCCCCAUUACUGCUACCACACCAACCACACCACGUCAAAUCACAAAUGCCUUACUAAAUUCAGCACCAUUCACCCAUUUGAUAAAGCAUCAGGAAAUUUACCUCAACCUAAGGAGUAAGGCUGUUGGUUGCUGUGAUUUCCAUUU